UCACUACAUCUGGAAAACCACGUAAGAACAAAUUAAAAGUAUUUUAAAAGAGACCAGGUUGUUUGAAAAUCCUAAACGAAUGCUAAAAAUCGUCAAAACAUUCUGGUGUGUGAGCCAGAGUGUCAUCGAAUUGCGAUGUAAUGUAAACAGAAAUUAUAGCAAGUUGAUGUCAGUCAGCUUAGAUGGUCCAAGCCAAAAUUAUGUCGCAUUUGAAGUUUCAAACUGAGUUAAAAAUA